CGUGUGGAUUUUCAUGCCUUUUGUAAACGGUAUUGAGUUAUGUGUUUUGUUGGCUCGAUUUGGCGUUAAGCCGGGCCCAGUCUCGAAUUAUUCAAUGUAUGGAUAUUUCUUGAAUCAAUAAUGUAAAUGUUUUAUAUGCGCUUCAUUAGUACUCUGAUAUUUGACUAGUCCGGUCUAACACAACGUUAGGUCGUAGUACCGGUUGAAAAGCCUUAGGCCUCGAUCUAACCGAAAACGCUAACUCUUGGCCGGGUUGCAAAGCCUUGUGCCUUGACGCAGCGGGACGAGUUAGUGGAUGAUGAACUGGUCGAGGUCGUGAAUUAAAGUUUGUGACUCGGACCGGAUUGUCCCUAGCCCGUCACAUAGCGCUUCUGAACCAUGGUGUUGGGUUGGACGGUCAGUCAUGUUCUUGUUUGAUUGUUGGCUGGCCGGUUGGCCUUUCAUCUCCAACCCUUGGUGUGGGUCGUCCGUCGGUCAUGUUCUUGUUUGAUUGUUGGCCGGUGGGUCGACCUAUGCUUAGGACGGUUCGGGGGUGUUACAGUCGGGGGCAUUCGUAUUUCAUAGUCAGAGGUGAAAUUCUUGGAUUUAUGAAAGACGAACAACUGCGAAAGCAUUUCCCAAUGACGUUUUCUUUAAUCAAGAACGAAAGUUGGGGGCUCGAAGACGAUCAGAUACCGUCCUAGUCUCAACCAUAAACGAUGCCAACCAGGGAUCAGCGGAUAUUGCUUUUAGGACUCCGCUGGCACCUUAUGAGAAAUCAAAGUUUUUGGGUUCCGGGGGGAGUAUGGUCGCAAGGCUGAAACUUAAAGGAAUUGACGGAAGGGCACCACCAAGAAUGGAGCCUGCGGCUUAAUUUGACUCAACACGGGGAAACUUACCAGGUCCAGACAUUGUAAGGAUUGACAGACUGAGAGCUCUUUCUUGAUUCUAUGGGUUGUGGUGCAUGGCCGUUCUUAGUUGGUGGAGCGAUUUGUCUUGUUAAUUCCGUUAACGAACGAGACCUCAGCCUGCUAACUAGCUACGUGGAGGCAUCCCUUCACGGCCGGCUUCUUAGAGGGACUAUGGCCGUUUAAGGCAAGGAAGUUUGAGGCAAUAACAGGUCCAGUGAUGCCCUUAGAUGUUCUGGGCGCCGCUGCGCUACACUGUAUUCAACGAGUUCACACCUUGGCCGACAGGCCCGGGUAAUCUUUGAAAUUUCAUCGUGAUGGGGAUAGAUCAUUGCAAUUGUUGGUCUUCAACGAGGAAUUCCUAGUAAGCGUGAGUCAUCAGCUCGCGUUGACUACGUCCCUGCCCUUUGUACACACCGCCUGUCGCUCCUAUCGAUUGAAUGAUCCGGUGAAGUGUUCGGAUCGCGGCGACGUGUGUGGUUUGCCGUCUGCGACGUCGCGAGAAGUCCACUAUCAUUUAGAGGAAGGAGAAGUUGUAACAAGGUUUCUGUAAGUGAACCUGCGGAAG
rnacentral:rRNA from 1 species